GACGAACGCUGGCGGCGUGCUUAACACAUGCAAGUCGAACGGAAAGUGCCCAGCUUGCUGGGUGACUCGAGUGGCGAACGGGUGAGUAACACGUGGGUGAUCUGCCCUGCACUUUGGGAUAAGCCUGGGAAACUGGGUCUAAUACCGGAUAGGACUACGUUCUGCAUGGGAUGUGGUGGAAAGCUUUUGCGGUGUGGGAUGGGCCCGCGGCCUAUCAGCUUGUUGGUGGGGUGAUGGCCUACCAAGGCGACGACGGGUAGCCGGCCUGAGAGGGUGAUCGGCCACAUUGGGACUGAGACACGGCCCAGACUCCUACGGGAGGCAGCAGUGGGGAAUAUUGCACAAUGGGGGAAACCCUGAUGCAGCGACGCCGCGUGAGGGAUGACGGCCUUCGGGUUGUAAACCUCUUUCAGCACCGACGAAGCGCAAGUGACGGUAGGUGCAGAAGAAGGACCGGCCAACUACGUGCCAGCCGCCGCCGUAACAC
rnacentral:rRNA from 1 species